rnacentral:rRNA from 1 species
AAAUGAAUUGACGGGGGCCCGCACAAGCAGUGGAGCAUGUGGUUUAAUUCGAAGCAACGCGAAGAACCUUACCAGGUCUUGACAUCCCGAUGACCGCUCUAGAGAUAGGGCUUUCCCCUUCGGGGGACAUCGGUGACAGGUGGUGCAUGGUUGUCGUCAGCUCGUGUCGUGAGAUGUUGGGUUAAGUCCCGCAACGAGCGCAACCCUUGACCUUAGUUGCCAGCAUUGAGUUGGGCACUCUAAGGUGACUGCCGGUGACAAACCGGAGGAAGGUGGGGAUGACGUCAAAUCAUCAUGCCCCUUAUGACCUGGGCUACACACGUGCUACAAUGGGUGGUACAACGGGUCGCGAAGCCGCGAGGCGGAGCCAAUCCCUGAAAGCCACUCUCAGUUCGGAUUGCAGGCUGCAACUCGCCUGCAUGAAGCCGGAAUUGCUAGUAAUCGCGGAUCAGCAUGCCGCGGUGAAUACGUUCCCGGGCCUUGUACACACCGCCCGU